GGCGCGCCUAACACAUGCAAGUCGAACGAGCGAGAGGAGGUUUACUUUCUCAAGCGAGUGGCGAACGGGUGAGUAACGCGUGAGGAACCUGCCUCAAAGAGGGGGACAACAGUUGGAAACGACUGCUAAUACCGCAUAAGCCCACGACCUGGCAUCGGGUAGAGGGAAAAGGAGCAAUCCGCUUUGAGAUGGCCUCGCGUCCGAUUAGCUAGUUGGUGAGGUAAUGGCCCACCAAGGCGACGAUCGGUAGCCGGACUGAGAGGUUGAACGGCCACAUUGGGACUGAGACACGGCCUAGACUCCUACGGGAGGCAGCAGUGGGGAAUAUUGCACAAUGGGGGAAACCCUGAUGCAGCGACGCCGCGUGGAGGAAGAAGGUCUUCGGAUUGUAAACUCCUGUUGUUGAGGAAGAUAAUGACGGUACUCAACAAGGAAGUGACGGCUAACUACGUGCCAGCAGCCGCGGUAAAACGUAGGUCACAAGCGUUGUCCGGAAUUACUGGGUGUAAAGGGAGCGCAGGCGGGAAGACAAGUUGGAAGUGAAAUCCAUGGGCUCAACCCAUGAACUGCUUUCAAAACUGUUUUUCUUGAGUAGUGCAGAGGUAGGCGGAAUUCCCGGUGUAGCGGUGGAAUGCGUAGAUAUCGGGAGGAACACCAGUGGCGAAGGCGGCCUACUGGGCACCAACUGACGCUGAGGCUCGAAAGUGUGGGUAGCAAACAGGAUUAGAUACCCUGGUAGUCCACACUGUAAAAGAAGAAUACUAGGUGUGGGAGGAUUGACCCCUUCAGUGCCGCAGUUAACACAAUAAAGUAAAUCCCCCUGGGGAGUACGACCGCAAGGUGGAAACUCAAAGGAAUUGACGGGGGCCCGCACAAGCAGUGGAGUAUGUGGUUUAAUUCGACGCAACGCGAAGAACCUUACCAAGUCUUGACAUCCUGCGACGAUGCUGGAAACAGUAUUUUCCUUCGGGACGCAGAGACAGGUGGUGCAUGGUUGUCGUCAGCUCGUGUCGUGAGAUGUUGGGUUAAGUCCCGCAACGAGCGCAACCCUUAUGGUCAGUUACUACGCAAGAGGACUCUGGCCAGACUGCCGUUGACAAAACGGAGGAAGGUGGGGAUGACGUCAAAUCAUCAUGCCCUUUAUGACUUGGGCUACACACGUACUACAAUGGCGUUAAACAAAGAGAAGCAAGACCGCGAGGUGGAGCAAAACUCAGAAACAACGUCCCAGUUCGGACUGCAGGCUGCAACUCGCCUGCACGAAGUCGGAAUUGCUAGUAAUCGCAGAUCAGCAUGCUGCGGUGAAUACGUUCCCGGGCCUUGUACU
rnacentral:rRNA from 1 species